UGAUUUAUUGUAUUAUUCUAUCAUUUUGGCCAUUCUCACUAUCUGUGAAUAGAGCAAUGAUCACAGCUGUAAUUUAUAACUAGCCUAGCCUACCAUGGCUAAGGCUGGGACUCACUGGUGGAGAUGAACGAUGUGUCCUCUUCACCUGUUUGUUUGGGUGUUCGGGCUGCAUGAGCACAAUGCAGUUUGAUCUGAAAGGAAAGGGGGACUUUGUUGAGCUUCCAAAGACUCACCAGACAGGGGGUUGGACUGGGUCACACUUACGGUGGUUCUGUUGCUAGGGUUACAGUUCACGGGGGUAUUUGGGGCCAGACAGAAGUGAAAGCGUGGACUGUAUGUAAACAGAGACAGGCUCAUUCUGCCGUCUGUGUACACAAGUCAUAUGACCGGGAGUGAUGGCUGUGAAAUCGCAGUGAGAUGUAAAGUGAAACGUCCAAGUUCACGUGAAGGCUGGGCGGCCAGGGGUGUGCUGGUCCAACCAGGAUCCAGAGAAACUGGGUCAGCUGACAGAGCGUAGAAAGAACACAUUAUCUUCAGUGUCUGGGAUUGAUUAUGUAGCCUAAAUUUGAAGGCGUAUGCCGUUAAGUGCAAAAGUAUUGGGACAGUGACAAAAUUUAUGUUGUUUUGGCUCUGUUCUUUAGCACAUUGGAUUUCUAAUGAAAUAAUGAAUAAAAUGAGAUGAAAGUCUGGACUGUCAGCUUUAAUUUGAGGGUACAGACAUGCAUAUUGGGUAAUCCAUGUAGGAAUUACAGCCCUUUAUAUACAUAGCCCCCAUUUUAGGGGACCAAUAAUAUCAUAACGUCAUCAUAUUUGGUACUUGAUUGAAAAUCUCUGACAUGGAUGGAAAUUCCCUCAGAUUCAAAAGUGACAGUCUGCGCUUUGGCCUCAUAUUCAUUGUUUUAUUUCAAAUCCAGUGUGAUGGAGUACAGAGCCAAAACAACAGAAAUAGUGUCACUGUCCAAACACUCAGUGACUCUGCUUGUAAGGACUCUGUUUUGCGGUGUGCCUCUCUCCCUCUAGUCUUGCACUGAACUUGAUUGGUGCUCCCCCCCCCCCCCCCCCGUCAUGUCCGCCUGUCCUGGAUCCGAGAGCUCAGGCUUUGUGACAAUCGUAACGAGUUCUCUCUGGAGGCUGUCCAGCGGACGCGCCAGUUUAGCGCUGCCUCCUCCUGGAGGAAAUUGAGGCGAUUACGUGACCCUCGUUCGUUAAGCUGGAACCGUUUGUUCCUUUCGACGCGACUCCUCGUAAAAGCCUCUCAAGUUGAUCUUUGAUUCGGCGAAAAACGUGUCAGGGGUAUGCUUUUUUUUUUUUUCUUCUUUUCUUUUCUUUUCUUUGGUCACCGGAGCUGGUCUAGACAGGGCUGCUCGCGAGAGGGCACAGGAGGACAGGGGAAGCAGACAGAACCUGCUCGACAGCUGAGCGGAUGUAUCAUUCGGUUUAGCUUUAACUCUGAGGGGGCCAAAGGGCCCCAAUCUGAGCUCCUGCUUUCUGUCUGAUGCACGUCUCUGCGUGCUUAGGCAAAUGCGCCAGUCAAAAUGGAGGCUCUGAUUGCACUGUCACGAUCAGUCUGAGGCUAUGUGUGUAGAGUAGAACACACAGUCACUCGCGGUCUAAAACUGGCCUGAGUGGUAGGGCUCGGUAUUGUAAGGUGUCUCGCGGUAUAACGCAUAUCCCGAUAGAGGGGUCGCGAUGCAGUGAAUAUCCCGAUACGAGUCACGAUAUGCAAAUUUGGAAAUGGUUUUAAAACCGUAUUAGAUGCCACCGAGGAAAACGUCACCGGGGGCAACAGUGGUCGGGGUAUCCAUUGUGUGUUGAGGCACUGGACAGUACCCAGGCCUAACACGUUAUUACUCAUGUUACUGAAGCCAUAGGUAAUAGCAGGGCUGUCUUAAGAUUAGAGAAAUACCUCAUCUGGACCUGAUACUUCCCUAGUGUUCAAAAAACAUCCAGGUAAAACGAAUCACCAGCGCAAAAUUCCAACAUUUAUUUAUCUGUUUAUUGAUUUUAUUUAUCGUUUAUUUAUCCAGGAAGGUCCUAAUGAGAUAGUCUUUUCUUCCAGGGAUUCCUGGUCAAAAAGUCUAAAAGUUUCACAAUAAUGAAAAACAGUUUCACAUGGUCAUAUAAAAUACAUAUAAACAUGCUAUACAUAAAAAUUAAACACAGAAAGAAGUAUUUGAAAAAAUAAGUAUUUGGACAAAAAAAAGAGGUGUUUGAAAAGGGAAUGCAUAAAUAUUAAAAAUAGAGAGAGAGGUAUUUGAAAAGAGAAGCAUGUAGUUGAUACCAGUGAUACCUAUAAUACAGUCGAUAAAAUAAGGAUUAAUAAAAGCUGUGUGCUUGUUGAAUAGACACAUCAGGCACACAGAAUGCUAAGUAGAAUAGCUAAGUGCUAUUUAUGCUAGUGCACAGGUUCCCACGUGUGUUUGAAUGAGCUAAAUGUGAGCAAAAAAACUUCAGUUAUCACAUCUAAAAAGUCUAAAUAAUAGUACCCAAUAAACAUUAAAGCAAAGCUUUUUUGUGUUUUAAAGGCAAAAUUCUUUUUUUAUCACUCAAUCUAUUUUUAAGUUUUUACGAAGGCAAUAAAAAGUUAUUUUGUAUAGCCCAUGGUGCAGCCACCACGGUCAGCUGAUCUGCAGCCACAGUUAUGGUGGAAAUGGGCAAUUUACAACUGAACGACCCCGUGUCACGUUGUAGAAACAGUACAGAUCCAUCCAGAAUUAGUAUCUCUUUUCUUUUCUUUUCUUU